AAGUNGUAACAAGGUUUCCGUAGGUGAACUGCGGAAGGAUCAUUAUCGUAUAACAGAGAUGCCCAGGGCUGUCGCUGACCUUCACAGGUCGUGCACGCCCAAAGGUGCUCUCUUAUGUCCAUCUCACCCCUUUGUGCAUCACCGCGUGUGCCCCCCUUAUUGGGCUUGUUCCAAAGGGGGGUUCGCGUUUUAACACAGACACCAAUUUUUAAGAGCAUGUGUAGAAUGUCUUACUUUUUGCGAUUAUGCGCAAUCAAUACAACUUUCAACAACGGAUCUCUUGGCUCUCGCAUCGAUGAAGAACGCAGCGAAAUGCGAUACGUAAUGUGAAUUGCAGAAUUCAGUGAAUCAUCGAAUCUUUGAACGCACCUUGCGCCCCUUGGUAUUCCGAGAGGCACACCCGUUUGAGUGUCGUGAACACCCUCAACCUUCUUGGUUUCUUGACCAGGAAGGCUUGGACUUUGGAGGUUUUCCUUGCUGGCCUUCCUUCGAAGCCAGCUCCUCCUAAAUGAAUUAGUGGGGCUCGCUUCGCCGAUCCUUGACGUGAUAAGUAUGCUUCUACGUCUUGGGUUUUGAACGAACCCGCUUCAAACGGUCUUGAACAAAGACGAUGUUCGAGUUGCAUCGUGUGACUCGAACACAGCGACCUUGANCUCAAAUCGGGUGAGACUACCCGCUGAACUUAAGCA
rnacentral:rRNA from 1 species